rnacentral:misc_RNA from 1 species
AAAGUCGUAACAAGGUUUCCGUAGGUGAACCUGCGGAAGGAUCAUUACAAAUCCAUCCACGUCUCUUCUUGAGACCACGUUGAAAUGUUCCCUAGUGUCGUCGUCGUCGUGGUCGUCCAGACUUUCUUCACAGCCUUCACCGGCCGUGUGUCUGUCCGGUUGACGCGCGCACAACACGCACUAGGCUUGUAAACUAGUAUUAUCUGUUGCUCAAUUGUAUCUUUCCUGAUUGUAAUGAUCAGGGCAAACAAAGUACAACUUAUAACAAUGGAUCUCUAGGCUCUU